UAGGGAAUCUUCCACAAUGGACGCAAGUCUGAUGGAGCAACGCCGCGUGAGUGAAGAAGGGUUUCGGCUCGUAAAGCUCUGUUGUUAAAGAAGAACGUGGGUAANAGUAACUGUUUACCCAGUGACGGUAUUUAACCAGAAAGCCACGGCUAACUACGUGCCA
rnacentral:rRNA from 1 species